UACGAAGGGGGCUAGCGUUGCUCGGAAUGACUGGGCGUAAAGGGCGCGUAGGCGGUGAACACAGUUAGGCGUGAAAUUCCCGGGCUCAACCUGGGGGCUGCGUUUAAUACAUGUUCGCUUGAGUUCGGAAGAGGGUCGUGGAAUUCCCAGUGUAGAGGUGAAAUCGUAGAUAUUGGGAAGAACACCGGUGGCGAAGGCGGCGACCGUGGUCCG
rnacentral:rRNA from 1 species